rnacentral:tRNA from 1 species
GGGCCCUUAGCUCAGCUGGUAGAGCAACUGACUCUUAAUCAGUAGGUUGUCGGUUCGACCCCGACAGGGCUCA